CGCGUAGAUAAUCUACCUGGUGAUCUGGGAUAACACUUCGAAAGGGGUGCUAAUACCGGAUAAGCCCACGGGGUCCUUGGACCCUGCGGGAAAAGGAGGGGACCUUCGGGCCUUCUGUCAUCAGAUGAGUCUGCGUACCAUUAGCUAGUUGGUGGGGUAAAGGCCUACCAAGGCGACGAUGGUUAGCUGGUCUGAGAGGAUGAUCAGCCACACUGGAACUGAGACACGGUCCAGACUCCUACGGGAGGCAGCAGUGGGGAAUUUUGCGCAAUGGGGGAAACCCUGACGCAGCAACGCCGCGUGAGUGAUGAAGGCCCUUGGGUCGUAAAGCUCUGACAGAGGGAAAGAAAUGUACGAUGGCUAAUAUCCAUUGUACUUGACGGUACCCUCAAAGGAAGCACCGGCUAACUCCGUGCCAGCAGCCGCGGUAAUACGGAGGGUGCGAGCGCUGUUCGGAUUUAUUGGGCGUAAAGCGCGUGUAGGCGGUUUUAUAAGUCUGAUGUGAAAGCCCCGGGCUCAACCUGGGAAGUGCAUUGGAUACUGUAAGACUUGGAUACGGGAGAGGGUAGUGGAAUUCCUGGUGUAGGAGUGAAAUCCGUAGAUAUCAGGAGGAACACCGGUGGCGAAGGCGGCUGCCUGGACCGAUAUUGACGCUGAGACGCGAAAGCGUGGGUAGCAAACAGGAUUAGAUACCCUGGUAGUCCACGCCGUAAACGAUGAGUACCAGGUGUUGCGGGUAUUG
rnacentral:rRNA from 1 species